GGCCCCAGGAAAGGCAAGCCCCAAGCUUGCCCAUUUGGGCAGAAGGAUCCUCCUCGGAUCAUCACCGCUCACUGAGGGUGACCUGGAGUACUCACCUGAACCUAUACCAGCUCAAGCAGGAACACAUCCAAGCAAGUCUUGAAUAUCUGCAGAGAAGACUCCACAGCCCCCCAGGACAGCCUCUUCCAGUGUUCUGUCACCCUCACAGUAAAAAAAUUCUCCUUUGUGUUUACUGAAACUUCCUAUGCCUCUGCUUCCAGCCACUGCCCCUCGUCCUGUCAUCAGGCAUCACCAAGAAGAGCCUGGCUCCAGCCUCCUGGCGCUCAUUUAUCCUUCUGUGUAAGUAAAUAGCUCUAAAAUGAUGGACUUAACAGCCACGUGGAGAAACUGUUCAGAACAAACUGCAAAUCAUCCUUCAAAAAAGAAGAGGCCUUUGGAGGGAGCAAAUUGGGGCUAUUUCCCUUCCUGGCUGAGGCAGCAGUGAGGAAAAGGAGCGGCUAAGACACUUUGGGAUUGGGUUGGGGUUUUUUUUUUUUGUGGUUUUUUGUUUUGUUUUGGUGUAUGUGGUAUUUUUUUUUCCCCCCAAUUAAAAUUCUGUGAGGAUUUGUAGCUCUCGUGGCACAUGUUCAAGUGCUUGCUUGAUGUUCCCACGUCUGUCACUUCUAGAGUGCACUGCUGCAACUCUCCUGCCCACCACCCAGCUUCUGCUCAAUGUCCCAUCCCAAAAGCCCUCCAUCCCCUUCCCUCAGACAGAGGUGGCAGAAACUGAGUGCAGGGCUCAACCUCUCACUACCCAGAGCAUAACACCCUAAACACCCCAGGAAAAUAGGGAUGUGCCACCCAGGCUGAGCAGAGACAGUGGAAAGGAGCCCUGGUCUCCUGUUGUACUGAGCAGGAAGGGGAGAAGACAGGCCCAGAAAGAGGAGUAUUAAGGCUGUUUUUCUAUUGACCAGGGAGCAAGAGACAACAGAUCCUAUCCUCUCACUUCUAGGGUGAAGAGUGAGAUAGCAGCAAGUACUGAAUGAUGAAGGUACAGCAGGAAUCACAAUGUCGUCUCCCACACCAUGCAAUUCUCCACCUCACUCUAACCACUGGUACCUGCUUGCCUGCUGGCAGAGAAAGCAACAUGAUUUGUACUCUGCUGAAUGAAUUCCUCAUUUCCCUUUUCAGCUAUCUCAAGUGACAGUCAUUCCUCUUAUCAGAGCAAAGCACAUUAGCAAAAUGAACAUUACCCAAGGCACCUGUGUUGAUUUUUCUUUGGAGGAGGAGCUUGCAUCAGAGUAGCUAGCAAGUCAGGAAGGUAUAAAAUAGCUCUAAGGAUGGCCAAGAGGAACUUGAUGACUAAGGGAGUGCCCUCAAGAAGGCUCUGAGUUGUUCUGUGAAAUGUAGACCAUAGCAGGAGAAGUGCAAAGGGCAUGCAGUUUAGAUGAAGAAAGGCAGGUCAGUGCACGUUGAAGUGUUACAUACACUGGCAGUCAGCUGUGCUACUAAUCAGUCAUUAUCCUUCACCCUCUCACACUUGCUGCUUUGUAUCAAAUGCCACCUAUAAGCUCUUCACAUUGUAUGCAUGCAGACAGAUGGAGAAAGAAGAUGACAGUAACCCAUACCUCGGAACACAGUGGUAUGACUCCGAUGUGAGAUUUGGGCUGAACCUGUCAGCUCCAAGCGCUGAUUUUCCAGCAAACAUGCAGGUCUCACACCACAGUUCCAAUAAAUCUUCCAUUUUCUAGGAA